UUUGGAAUAACAAGAUAAGUAAAAAUAAAAUUCGUUUAUUAAAAAAUAAACAUGCGUAGUAAGUUUUGAAUUCAAGUAGUUUCUGGAUAAUAUUUGAAUUAAGCAAAUCUAAAUAAACAUUGAAAUAGUUAUCUGUGAAGAUUGAACUUGAAGAUUAUAUUUAAAUUUAGAUUUCUCAAUCGUUAUUUUCUCGUAAAUCUAAAAGUGUCUUAAUUUCCUUCAUCUAUAUUUAUAAAAAAGCACCUUCGUGGAUUUUUGGAAAACGAGAAGUAGCAAGAACUACAAAAGACAGGUGUCAGAUAGGGUGGUGGCCAGGCAUUUGGAAACCUAUGGUCUUUUGACUUAGAACUGCAAUAAAUGAACUACUCCUUAGAACUAGAAACAUUAUAAAAAAAUCUGCUGGGCAAUAAAAUGACUACACCGAAGCACAAUGGAAGAGAGUUCUCUAAACCGACGAAUUUAAGUUUCAACUUUUUGGUUUCCAUCCUAGACUUUAGUAUGCCAUCCAGAUUGAGUGCAAUGAUACCUUGUGGGGAUAGUUUGCAGCACUCAAGUUGGUGAUUCGGUUAGAAUUAAAAGUAAUUCAUCAAAAAGAAUGUGAAUUAAAUGUGAUAUGUUAUCUCAUCAGAAACACAAAUUUCAGGGUGUGGCUUUGUGUUCCAACAAAAUAAUGAUCCAAAGCACAGUUCAAAGUCUUGCAGUAAUUGGAAAAGAAAAGAAGAUGCUCACAUCAGAGGAUCACCACAAACCCUGAGCAGUCACAACUGAACUAAACAUGGAAAACUUUAAGUAGAUG